ensembl:lncRNA
UAUUUGAGUUGCUGUUGCCUUCUUAUCAGCUCGAAGCAGUCUGGUUAUUCUACUCUAACCUCAUGCAUCAACAAGGCGUUUUCAUCCUGAUAACUGCUGCUCAUGGGGUAUUUUCUCUUUUGUAGACCAUUUUCUGUAAAGUCUAAAGAUGUUUGUGUGGAAAAUAUUUGUGUGGCAUAUCCCAGCAGAUCAGCAGUAAUUUGGCAGAUAAUAUAUUUGUGUUAAAGAGCAGGUAUACUUUAAAAAGGUGGCUGUUGAGUGUAUUUUGUUUAAGAGAAUAAUUUUAUUUUAAGCAUUUUAUUUUCAGUUAUUAAUUUGUCCAAUUACUUUUGAGCCCCUAAAAUUAAGGGAUUAUGUUAAAAAGUUAUUUAGCUAUUAGCAAUGUCUCACAGACAAAGUAGCCAUUCAUUUGACCAGAAUCGUUGAAUCUCUCUCCCUCCAUCAAUUCUAUUACUGCGUUAGUUUCACCUUCUUCGUCUCUUCCUCACUUCUCCACAGCUGGUGCUGGCAGCAGCAGCCUCGUGUGAAUGUGAGGUUACUUGUUGUUGCUGGUUCAUUUUAUGGUUCAUGGUAUAUUAGCAGCCCUGACAGCUAAAAUGACAGUUAAUUUGACACAUUUUGCUUGACCUAUUUUUUGUUUAGUUUCUUUUUCUUUUUGUUUUCACAUGAGAUACUUUUUCUUCACCACUUCUACCACUCUAAACAUUUUCUACAAACUGCAUGAGUGCACAGCGAAGGUAGAGGAGGGGCCUGUUGCAUUAAGAGAUUUGAUUGGGUAAUCUAGUGUCGGUAAUGAAAAUGAAUGAAUGGGCUGCUGUCAGUGCUUGUACAGCCGUUGCACAGCGACCCUUCAGGCUGACCCAUCGGCCCAAAAAUGCGUCACCCCACCCGGAAAGCCUGGCAUGCAAGAUUACCAGUCCAGCCCUGCCACUCUGUAAUUAGCAAACAUUUGUUGUAAAAGCAGUCAUUAAUGGAAUGACUCAUUGCACAAUAACAGCUCAUUCACAACGUUUUAACUGGAAGUUUGGCAAGAAUGUUAACAACUCACUUCAUUUCAUAAAUUAACAACUUGCAUGAUCUUCCAACAAUCAUGCUCAUAUCCUCAAAGAUCAAAAUAGACCUGUAUAUUUCAAUCCAUUAUAGCAAUACUGGAUCAGAAAUAAUAUAACCUUACGCCGCCUCUCAUUAUUAUUUAUCUUUUAUUUUAGUAGGGAUAAGGUAGUGUUGUAAAAAUAUUUACAAUGAGUGGAAAACAAGGAACAGAGAAGGAGGAGGAAGAAUAGUAUUUUAAGGGGUAUUUCUUCAUAACAGGAAUCUUAACUACAGCCUUAAUGAGAGACUUGUGUACUACUUCAUACUAAAUCAACAACUAAAAACUCGAAGCUACUUUAGACUCACAGAAAGCAUCACUGUGUAUUAUGUUGUCAUUAAAAUGUGAAUCUAGUCACAGUUCAGGCAAACUGUGCAGGCUCUACACAACACGCCCUAUUAUUUUUCAAGUAAAUCUACUACAAAUGCUCCAGUGGGCACCAACAGCAUCUAUAUAUUGGAGAGGACCAGUUCACUGACUCACAUUAGUGAAGGCGAUGCCUAGCAGGUGAUUAGCUCAUUAUGUCCGCACACCUAUUAAACAAGCAUCCACCUUUCCAAUUUUAAGCCUUACCAGAAACUAAAUGGAAUGUCUUAUACAAAUCAAAUCAAAUAACCUACUAUACACUCGUGUAUGGAGUCUUAUAACUAAGUUAAAAAAAAAUAAAGAAAAAAGAAAAGUAAGUACUAACUACUACAGAAGUAACAGUUUGUUAGUACCAGUCAGUAAACACAGCUUUCAGUUGGGCAUUUUAACAUGGGAGUCAUUGGGGAGUGCCUGAGUCUUUGGAGCCAACCUCAAAUGGCCACUAGAGGAACUGCAGUUUUGGGAAUCCUUCAUUUCUCAGUCUGGUUCUGUUGGUGGCUUGAAUGUGGUAUACCAAGAUUGUACCAAAAAGAGCCUUAAUUCAUAUCAGCUAUUUUCUCAUUUCUGAUUUUUUUCCUGUGGUCCUCCAAUCACUAGUGAGAUGACAGUUUUGGGUGUAACAUAUUUUUAUUGCACGUGAUGGUAAUGUCACAUUCUGUACCCAAGACUAAACACAACAGCUGAUAUGACAUUGUGAAGAUGUAAAGACACACAAACACACAAACCUCUGAGGGAAAAGGGAAGCAUGAUGUUUUAGUAGUGAUGAACACUUAGGCUUGAUAGUGUUAGGGUACCUGUGUCGCUGACCCAGUGUUUUCAUUUUUGUACCUUUAUUUGUGUUCUCAUCUUGGUUUAUUACUGUGAAGGUUUUUGGUUUCUGUUUUUCAUUUGUAUUUUCCCCGGUUCUUCUUCUUCUUCUUCUUAUGUUCGGGUUUCCAUACUCCCUCUGUUAUGUGUCUGCCCUGGUCCCACUUCUCUCUUCCCUCUGUCGAGUAUCUGCUUGGGAGUCUGUCUGUAGUCCAGUCUGUGUUUCCUGUUUUACUUUGAAAGUCCGUGUCCUAUGUUAAUGUGUCUGGUUUUGCUUCCCUUGUCUCAUUAGCCCUGAUUUGUCCCAGCUGUGUUUCCCUCCUGUCUCCCAUUCCCUGAUUGCUCCCUCUGUGUACUUAAGCCCUGUGUUUUCUUUUGUCUGUGUUGUGAUCUCCAUCAUCCCAUGCUGUGUGUUCUGUCUGCCUUCCUGUGUAAAUUUAUUUUUGCAUUUUCAGUUUUUUUUGGUUUUUUUUGAGUCUGCAUUAAAGCUGUUUCUGAGUGCACUUUUGCCUCUGAGUAUCUGCACUUUGGGUCCUACCCUGCCUACACACAACCUACACUUGAUAGAUAGUGGUUAAGCCUUCAUGUCACCUAUACCCAUUCGUGCUGGGAGUGGUUAAGUAAUGUGCAAUGUAAGCAAUCACAUUAUGACCCCAGUGUUGCUAUGUGUUAGACCAAAGUCAGACAAAUGGCAGUCAAAAAUAUGUUUGGGUCCUGGUGUACUGUAGCUCAAGGCAUUGAGCAAGUGACCUGGGGUCAAAUCUGCCCUGAGGCAGUUUACAUUAGGUCUUCCCAAAUGGUAAACUGCUCUCCUCAACUUACCUGUCUCUCAAAGGCAAAAAAUCCACCUUCCAAAAAUGAUAUCUUGUUUAAAAUUUUAAAUGCCCCCCCCCCCUUAAAUUUUAGCAUUGUUUUUAAGUUGUUCACAGUUGCUCUACUUUGAAUGUGCCUUGAGGAAAUUUCCAUAAAAUGCUGCCUUGGAGUUGUAGUAAAGUGGAGCUCAAGGUGGCAUCUUGGAAUAAGUAAAACUCUCACAUCAUAGAUAAAGCAUAUACCCUUUUCUAAUAUUUACCCCCAGAACAAACAAGCGUCUUGUAAAGGGACACAGCAAUAAACUGAACUAUUCU